AUUCUGAAAGGCGAUAUAAAGAGGGAGUGCUUUCCAGGAAUGGGGGAUAGCCUGCAUGAAUGCAGAGGUCAUUCCCUAUGCCUGGAGUGCUCUCUCUCUCUUUCUUCCACAUAUCCAAGU
rnacentral:precursor_RNA from 15 species